UCAACUGCUUCAGUUUGAGGAACUAAUAUUACAUCUUGAUCUUGAUGUUAUUGAGUGGGAAACUUUAGCAUCUAAACUAGUGGGUAGAGUAUAUUCAACUAAGAUCUUCAACAGCUUUGUGGUUAUAGAAGCUAUAGCUUUUGGAUAGUGGUUAUCUUCUCCAUUCUCAAUCAUAAAACUAGGAUUUCUUUUUGUUCCAUCUCAAUGACCCUUCGAACCAUGCAAG
rnacentral:lncRNA from 1 species